UACGUAGGGGGCAAGCGUUGUUCGGAAUUACUGGGCGUAAAGCGCACGUAGGCGGCUUUGUAAGUUAGAGGUGAAAGCCUGGAGCUCAACUCCAGAACUGCCAUUGAAACUGCAAGACUUGAGUACGAGAGAGGUGAGUGGAAUUCCCAGUGUAGAGGUGAAAUUCGUAGAUAUUGGGAAGAACACCGGUGGCGAAGGCGGCUCACUGGCUCGUAACUGACGCUCAGGCGCGACAGCGUGGGGAUCAAACAGG
rnacentral:rRNA from 1 species